CUCAGUUCGGAUCGGAGUCUGCAACCCGACUCCGUGAAGCUGGAUUCGCUAGUAACCGCGCAUCAGCCAUGGCGCGGUGAAUACGUUCCCGGGCCUUGUACACACCGCCCGUCAAGCCAUGGAAGCCGGGGGUGCCUGAAGUGUGCAGCCGCAAGGAGCGCCCUAAGGUAAAACCGGUGACUGGGGCUAAGUCGUAACAAGGUAAC
rnacentral:rRNA from 1 species